GAUGAAGAACGCAGCGAAAUGCGAUAAGUAGUGUGAAUUGCAGAAUUCAGUGAAUCAUCGAAUCUUUGAACGCACAUUGCGCCCCUUGGUAUUCCAUGGGGCAUGCCUGUUCGAGCGUCAUUACAACCCUCAAGCUCAGCUUGGUAUUGGGCCCCGCCGACCCGGCGGGCCCUAAAGUCAGUGGCGGUGCCGUCCGGCUCCGAGCGUAGUAAUUCUUCUCGCUCUGGAGGUCCGGUCGUGUGCUCGCCAGCAACCCCCAAUUUUUUUCAGGUUGACCUCGGAUCAGGUAGGGAUACCCGCUGAACUUAAGCAUAUCAAUAAGCGGAGGA
rnacentral:misc_RNA from 1 species